UACAGAGGUCCCAAGCGUUGUUCGGAUUCACUGGGCGUAAAGGGUGCGUAGGCGGUCGGGUAAGUCUGACGUGAAAUCUUCAAGCUCAACUUGGAAACUGCGUCCGAUACUAUUCGGCUAGAGGAAUGGAGGGGAGACUGGAAUACUUGGUGUAGCAGUGAAAUGCGUAGAUAUCAAGUGGAACACCAGUGGCGAAGGCGAGUCUCUGGUCUGUAACUGACGCUGAGGCGCGAAAGCGUGGGGAGCAAACAGG
rnacentral:rRNA from 1 species